rnacentral:piRNA from 1 species
UCUCCAGUACUUAGAGCAUUCUAUUAAAA